AGAGUUUGAUCCUGGCUCAGAACGAACGCUGGCGGCAGGCCUAACACAUGCAAGUCGAACGAGAAGCCACCUUCGGGUGGUGGACAGUGGCAGACGGGUGAGUAACGCGUGGGAACGUGCCUUUCGGUUCGGAAUAACCCAGGGAAACCUGGGCUAAUACCGGAUACGCCCUCCGGGGGAAAGAUUCAUCGCCGAAAGAUCGGCCCGCGUCGGAUUAGCUAGUUGGUGAGGUAAUGGCUCACCAAGGCGACGAUCCGUAGCUGGUCUGAGAGGAUGACCAGCCACACUGGGACUGAGACACGGCCCAGACUCCUACGGGAGGCAGCAGUGGGGAAUACUGGACAAUGGGCGAAAGCCUGAUCCAGCCAUGCCGCGUGGGUGAAGAAGGCCUUAGGGUUGUAAACCCCUUUCAGCGGGGAAGAUAAUGACGGUACCCGCAGAAGAAGUCCCGGCUAACUCCGUGCCAGCAGCCGCGGUAAU
rnacentral:rRNA from 1 species